rnacentral:rRNA from 1 species
AUUGCAGAAUUCAGUGAAUCAUCGAAUCUUUGAACGCACAUUGCGCCCCUUGGUAUUCCAUGGGGCAUGCCUGUUCGAGCGUCAUUUGUACCUUCAAGCUCUGCUUGGUGUUGGGUGUUUGUCUCGCCUCUGCGUGUAGACUCGCCUUAAAACAAUUGGCAGCCGGCGUAUUGAUUUCGGAGCGCAGUACAUCUCGCGCUUUGCACUCAUAACGACGACGUCCAAAAGUACAUUUUUACACUCUUGACCUCGGAUCAGGUAGGGAUACCCGCUGAACUUAAGCAUAUCAAUAGCCGGAGGA